rnacentral:rRNA from 1 species
CAGCCGCCACGGGAAUACAGAGGGUGCAAGCGUUAAUCGGAAUUACUGGGCGUAAAGCGCGCGUAGGUGGUUAGUUAAGUUGGAUGUGAAAUCCCCGGGCUCAACCUGGGAACUGCAUUCAAAACUGACUGACUAGAGUAUGGUAGAGGGUGGUGGAAUUUCCUGUGUAGCGGUGAAAUGCGUAGAUAUAGGAAGGAACACCAGUGGCGAAGGCGACCACCUGGACUGAUACUGACACUGAGGUGCGAAAGCGUGGGGAGCAAACAGGAUUAGAUACCCCCGUAGUCCCUGUCUCUUAUAC